UACGUAGGGUGCGAGCGUUAAUCGGAGUUACUGGGCGUAAAGGGUGCGCAGGCGGUCCUGCAAGUCAGGCGUGAAAUCCCCGGGCUUAACCUGGGAAUGGCACUUGAAACUACGGGACUGGAGUAUGGCAGAGGGAGGUGGAAUUCCACGUGUAGCGGUGAAAUGCGUAGAGAUGUGGAGGAACACCGAUGGCGAAGGCAGCCUCCUGGGCCAAUACUGACGCUCAUGCACGAAAGCGUGGGGAGCAAACAGG
rnacentral:rRNA from 1 species